AUGAACGCUGGCGGCAUGCCUAACCCCUGCAAGUCGAUCGGUAAGGCUCUUCGGAGUACACGAGAGGCGGACGGCUGAGUAACGCGUAGGAACACACCCUGCAGUGAGGGAUAAGACACCGAAAGGUGUUCUAAUACCGCAUACGGUCUUCGGAUUAAAGCAUUUAUGCGCUGAAGGAGUGGCCUGCGUCAUAUUAGAUAGUUGGUGAGGUAAUGGCUCACCAAGUCGAUGAUGUGUAGCUGGUCUGAGAGGAUGAUCAGCCAGACUGGAACUGAGACACGGUCCAGACUCCUACGGGAGGCAGCAGUGAGGAAUAUUUCACAAUGAGCGAAAGCUUGAUGGAGCAAUGCCGCGUGCAGGAUGAAGGCCCUCGGGUUGUAAACUGCUUUUAUAAGAGAAGAUUAUGACGGUAACUUAUGAAUAAGGGACGGCUAACUACGUG
rnacentral:rRNA from 1 species